rnacentral:rRNA from 1 species
GAUGAACGCUGGCGGCGUGCCUAAUACAUGCAAGUCGAGCGAACAGACGAGGAGCUUGCUCCUCUGACGUUAGCGGCGGACGGGUGAGUAACACGUGGAUAACCUACCUAUAAGACUGGGAUAACUUCGGGAAACCGGAGCUAAUACCGGAUAAUAUAUUGAACCGCAUGGUUCAAUAGUGAAAGACGGUUUUGCUGUCACUUAUAGAUGGAUCCGCGCCGCAUUAGCUAGUUGGUAAGGUAACGGCUUACCAAGGCAACGAUGCGUAGCCGACCUGAGAGGGUGAUCGGCCACACUGGAGCUGAGACACGGUCCAGACUCCUACGGGAGGCAGCAGUAGGGACUCUUCCGCAAUGGGCGAAAGCCUGACGGAGCAACGCCGCGUGAGUGAUGAAGGUCUUCGGAUCGUAAAACUCUGUUAUUAGGGAAGAACAAAUGUGUAAGUAACUAUGCACGUCUUGACGGUACCUAAUCAGAAAGCCACGGCUAACUACGUG